UAUUUUUAUAGAGAAACAUAUCAUCGAUAAUAAAUUCGCUCGAAGAUCAAGUCCAUGUUUCACAAGUGCAUGUUUUACAAGUCCAUGUUUUACAAGUCCAUGAGUUUUACAAGUCCAUGAGUUUUACAAGUGCAUGUUUUACAAGUCCUUGAGUUUUACAAGUGCAUGUUUUACAAGUCCUUGAGUUUUACAAGUGCAUGUUUUACAAGUCCAUGAGUUUUACAAGUGCAUGUUUUACAAGUCCUUGAGUUUUACAAGUCCAUGUUUUACAAGUCCAUGUUUUACAAGUCCAUGUUUUACAAGUCCAUGUUUUACAAGUCCAUGUUUUACAAGUCCAUGUUUUACAAGUCCAUGUUUUACAAGUCCAUGCGUUUUACAAGUCCAUGAGUUUUACAAGUGCAUGUUUUACAAGUCCAUGAGUUUUACAAGUCCAUGUUUUACAAGUCCAUGAGUUUUACAAGUCCAUGAGUUUUACAAGUCCAUGUUUUACAAGUCCAUGAGUUUUACAAGUCCAUGUUUUACAAGUCCAUGAGUUUUACAAGUCCAUGUUUUACAAGUCCAUGAGUUUUACAAGUCCAUGUUUUACAAGUCCAUGAGUUUUACAAGUCCAUGUUUUACAAGUCCAUGAGUUUUACAAGUGCAUGUUUUACAAGUCCAUGAGUUUUACAAGUGCAUGUUUUACAAGUCCAUGAGUUUUACAAGUCCAUGUUUUACAAGUCCAUGAGUUUUACAAGUCCAUGUUUUACAAGUCCAUGUUUUACAAGUCCAUGAGUUUUACAAGUCCAUGUUUUACAAGUCCAUGAGUUUUACAAGUCCAUGUUUUACAAGUCCAUGAGUUUUACAAGUGCAUGUUUUACAAGUCCAUGAGUUUUACAAGUCCAUGUUUUACAAGUCCAUGAGUUUUACAAGUCCAUGAGUUUUACAAGUCCAUGUUUUACAAGUCCAUGAGUUUUACAAGUCCAUGUUUUACAAGUCCAUGAGUUUUACAAGUCCAUGUUUUACAAGUCCAUGAGUUUUACAAGUCCAUGUUUUACAAGUCCAUGAGUUUUACAAGUCCAUGAGUUUUACAAGUCCAUGGUUUUACAAGUCCAUGAGUUUUACAAGUCCAUGUUUUACAAGUCCAUGAGUUUUACAAGUCCAUGUUUUACAAGUCCAUGAGUUUUACAACAUGCAUUCUACAGAUGCAUACAUUCUUUUGUGAAUUAUUUGAUUGAACUGCUAACGACAAUAGCCCGCCGACAUACCGCAGUUAUAUGUGAACCAGACUUAAUGGUCUUUUAUUAUUCUUAAAAAUAAUUAAUAAUUCAUGAGGAAAAGACAAACCACUACCGUGUCGGUGGUUUUAUAUGUGAUAAAAAACAUGUUCAUUUAUAUCAUACAUUGACUUUAGUUUUGAUUUUCUUGGCUUAGUCCAUGUUUAUUUAUAAGUCAUGACUUUUACAAGUGCAUGUUUUACAAGUGGGUCGUUUUUUAAGUCCUGUUUGUUCACAAACAUUUCGAGGAAUCGUUGUCGUUAUUGUAAGUUUUUGUAGUAGAUCAUCGAUGGCGUGACGAUGCUCGGAAGGAGCGACACUGUGUUGUUUACUUGUUUUCAAAUAUAUUACGUGAAAAGUAAAUCUUUGAGAAUUUACACAAUAUAUAAAUUGAUGUUAUGCAUUACGGGCAUUCAAUCAAGUACCGAUAUUAUUUGGACGGUAUAUUCAUUAUACAGAGCUGGGAAGGAGCUAGACAGUGGAUAGCUCCUUGCCUUUUUCUUCUAUUCAGUCAUAGAUUAUAGAUUAUACCAGAUGUCUCAUUGUGUAUCUAUCCCUAUGAUUUUCGUGUCCGCGAUUUUCGCAAGGCUAUCACGCCAGAUGACGCGUGCAACACUUACUGCCAAAAUGGCGCUUACUGCCAAAAUGCGUGAUUGCUCACGUUUCAUGGCGUGGAUUACACUUACUGCCAAAAUGGCGGCCAACGCGUGCUCAUAAAAAAUCGCGGACACAAUUUUGGCUGAGUGAGACAUCUGGUAUGAUCUAUAAUCUAUGAUUCAGUCAUAAAGCUUGCUGGAAAAUCAAGCGAUUCGAUUGGCGAUAACAUGUUGGCUAUCUCCUCGUCUUUCUCGUUUGAAUAAAGAGUUCUGACGAGUCAAGAGAUUUUCUUUAGUCUCGCAAGUUAUUUUGUCGGUUAUUUUCUUCGUAAACGCAAUACAAUAGCGAGGUUUAGCAAAGACGACGCGACGUCAACGAGGAUAGAAUCUCAAAGAUUUUCUCAAUAUUCAUGUCUGAAAUGUUUAUAUAUUUGAAAAUGAUACUGUAUCGUAAUCGUAAUAUAAAAUUAAUGCCAGCAUAUAACGUACGCAAAAGAGCCAUAUAGACAAGAUUUUGAAACUUUAGACUAUCCUUGGAUCCCAAGUUAUUCAUUGAACUGCCAAAAUGGCGAUGUCUCGUAUGAGUCGUAAGCUGGUUACAGACGAGCAAGUUUUCUGUGACAAGUUUUCAGUUAUGUGACAAGUUUUUUUUGCUCGUCUGUACACGCACAUGCUAGCUUUUGAACAAGUGCACUUGUCAUAGAAAAAAUUGUCAAAGUACAAAUUUUGUUCGUCUGUAUGGGUCAACAAAGAAAACUUGUCAAAGUAAUCUGAGCAUUUGGUGUAAUUGGCCAGCGGACUAUUAUAAUUUUUCUGUCAUGGCGGCGAUAAACACCUUUUUCUGACACAUUCACACCAGUAAAUAAAACUUGUCAUAUGAAAACUUGUCAUAUAAAAUUUGUUGCAUAUACAGACGUGCACUUGGCAAAUAAAACUUGUCACAUAAAAACUUGUCAUAGAAGACUUGCUCGUCUGUAACCGGCUAUAUUGUGGAAAUCAAUGUUUUCAUGAUAUGCAUUUUUAUUAUUUUUAAACUUUUUUACUACAGUAAACAUGGAUUUACAUUUCAAAUAUAACAAGACGCUCGAAAGAGCGUUAACUCGCUGGGGUUAUACAACCUAUCCCCUGUUGCAAAAUUGCGGUGUCCGUGCCAAGUUUAGCACCGCACCAUAGCGGACGGUUUGGGGGGGGGGGCUUUAUUUAUAAUCUAGGACUCUCAGGACCGCAAUCUCUGGUUUUAUGCACCCAAGUGACCCAACAAGGACAAAAAUACCUCGUUUCUCAAAGAGUUUUACAAGUCCAUGAGUUUUACAACAUGCAUUCUACAGAUGCAUACAUUCUUUUGUGAAUUAUUUGAUUGAACUGCUAACAACAAUAGCCCGCCGACAUACCGCAGUUAUAUGUGAACCAGACUUAAUGGUCUUUUAUUAUUCUUAAAAAUAAUUAAUAAUUCAUGAGGAAAAGACAAACCACUACCGUGUCGGUGGUUUUAUAUGUGAUAAAAAACGUCCUUGAGUUUUACAAGUGCAUGUUUUACAAGUGCAUGUUUUACAAGUCCAUGAGUUUUACAAGUCCAUG